rnacentral:misc_RNA from 1 species
UUUCCGUGGGUGAACCUGCGGAAGGAUCAUUAUUGUAUAACCGAGGUGCGAGGGCUGUCGCUGACCCGAAAGGUCGUGCACGCCCGAGUACCCUCACACACAUCCAUCUCACCCCUAUGUGCACCACCGCGUGGGUCCCCCUUUGGCUUGUUCGGAGGGGGGCUUACGUUUUCACACAAACUUUGUAUGCAGUGUAGAAUGUAUUUUUUGUUUUUGCGAUCACGCAAUCAAUACAACUUUCAACAACGGAUCUCUUGGCUCUC